rnacentral:rRNA from 1 species
UACGGGGGGGGCAAGCGUUGUUCGGAAUUACUGGGCGUAAAGGGCUCGUAGGCGGCCAACUAAGUCAGACGUGAAAUCCCUCGGCUUAACCGGGGAACUGCAUCUGAUACUGGAUGGCUUGAGUUUGGGAGAGGGAUGCGGAAUUCCAGGUGUAGCGGUGAAAUGCGUAGAUAUCAGGAGGAACACCUGUGGUGUAGACAGCUUACUGGACCACUUCUGACGCUGAGACACGAAAGCGUGGGUAGCAAACAGG